rnacentral:lncRNA from 8 species
UUCCCCAUGCAGUUGUGCUUUACUUCUAGCCAGACACCCAUGUUCAGAUGUAAGAUGUUAAUUUGAUCACUCUUUUGUUGCUGAAAAUGUUCUUGUAGGGUAUUUGAGUUUUUAAAAGGCUUCUAAAGUUCGUCAUUUCCACUUUGUAAUUUCGACUUGAUUUGCCCUAACGAACAAUGUAUCAACCCCUACAAAAAUGUCCAUUAAUUAUAAUCCACAAAAAAUGCACAGUUCCUGUUGUUGCCAGAUUAUUUUACUGCUGUAGAAAACUGGCUGAAAUUAAGAUCCAACAUCUGUAUUACUACUAGGGAAAACAAAAGGACUGAUGUCAGCUGUUUGUCUGAAGGGGGACAGAGACCGGCAGCAAGGAGUAAUACGCAAGAGGUUAUAGUCAAUGAAUAGUAUAUUGUACAUAAACAUGAUGCAUGGAAAAGAAUGAUACAAAUUUCUGAGCAGACUUCACACAACCAACAAGGAAGUUGAUUCGUGGUUCUCAGAUGUAUACCGAAGCCUCACGGAGUGAAGAAUCUCAGAGAUGCCGAUGGGUUGAGUCAACAAUCAAGAAGAUACGAUGAGCCAGACCAGCCAACCACCCCACUGAGGUGGAUCAGAGAUGGCAACCUCCUCUUUACUAAGUGGAUGGGCACCACAAGACUAAGAGAUGGUACCAGGACCCUGUUUUUCCAUUUCAUUGACAUUGUUGUGACCAACUAUUACAUCAUAUUCAAGGAGCUUGAGUUUUCCCUGAGGUGCAAUACACAUGAAGGCCAGUAGAUGGAGAUCUAAUCCCACUCAUGAGUGUGGGGUCAUGGGUGACCUCUUCACCUGUGGAAUAACGUGAGGGACAGACACGGCAAUUCUGUCUGAUUGGGCUUUUUGUUCUGUUGAAAAACAGAUGUGGACAGUAGUCCAAAAAAUGUAUAUAGUAGUUUGUUUGAUUAAUAUUUUUGCCCCCUAAAACGUAUAGAGGUACCCAAGAACGAUGGGAAAAUCAGUUUCUAUUGUUCAAAACCUACUUCCUCAGUGUGUGCAAUGCUUUACCUUAUAAAACGAAGCAAUGAGUUUUUCGCUUUUUUUGCCUUUAUGACACAAUCAUUCAUAAGUGUCUCAAGUUGUAGCUGAGAGUGUGUUGAAUCCAAAGCCAUAAAGCACUUGAUUCUCCUAUACAGGAGGAGCACUGUAGAAGUCAAGGUAGUGAAAAACGGCCCAAAAUGCCUUAGACUUUUGGGGGAAAGCAACCACCAUUGUCAGAUCCAGCAGAAGAGCAUUAGAAAUCCAAUCCAAUGUCUUUAGACCUAUAAAUACGUUGGCUAGAGAAGAGGGGAUUGGAGAGGUGAUCCACCACUGGCCCACUAAUCCCAAUUAACAACCACACGAUCACAAAAUGUCUCAGUGCUUCUUAUGGCAGGCAGGAAGAGAUAGGCCUAGGCCAUAUUCCUCCUUUCCACUGAAAUGUUUUUUUUGUUGCAAUGUUACAGGGUCUCUGUCUGACUGAAAGAGCCCUGCACAGGGAUGAAUUUUAAGCAUGAGUCAUACCCAUGCAUGCAACGUUCAGACCCUACACUACCCAGGCUGAUUGCUUCUGACAAAUUUCAGGCCCGGCCCUGCCCGAAACCCGAAAUCAGAAAUAACUUCCUCCAUUAGUAAAUCCAUUAGCUGCUUUUCUCUGUCUGUUACUCGCUCCCUGCACACAGCUCGCUCUGCAUACACUCUGCUCAUGGCAUCUCUGAGUCUGAGUAUCCAUAGCAACAGCUCCACUUGGGCUGCACUGCUCAAUGAAGCGACAUAAGAGAGCAGUUAGCUGUUAGCUACUUUUCGUCACUCUAAACUCUGACAAAACUCAAAGAACAUUACUAUUUUCCGUGAAUUAAUCUCUGCUGUCGUAUAUUUGAUGGGGUUGAAGCAAUUCUGACACCAGAUAUGACUGUACUGCACAGCAGAGCACAAGAAAAUGUCUCAGCUUCAACAUUUUAGUGAUCAAUUUAGUGAUACCCGAGCCCUGCCCAUACCUAGUUAUUGAUGAAAAAACAGGCCCUACCUGGCCCUAACCAGAUGUAUAAUGUCGGUGCCCAUAGGGCUCAGGUCGGGGUACCAGAGCUCUACUGACUGAAUGUGUUUUCACAUUAAAUGCAGUGUCAACUGUGUCAUCUGCUGGAUGACAACCUACAGUUAUGACACAUUUCAUUUUUAUUUGCUCUGUAUUCUUUAGGAAAAAAAUGCUUCAUUUUAUUUUGCUAGCAGCUUAGGUAAACAGAAGUGGAUCCUGCCUCUAAAGCAGAUUUUUGUCAGAAAUUGUUAUAAGGUAAUUUUAACAUAGCAGCUCCCUUGCACCCUUUCUAAAUGCUUGUCAAAAGCUUUCUAUGUGCGUUGGAUGGAAAAUACAGAUGACAGAUCUUAAUAUGACCCCUUUCGUCGCAGAAGGAAAAUAAUCCUGCAGCAGAAGGAUUUGAAUAUAUAUUGAACUAUAUUGACAAAUUAUACAUAGCCUUACAGUGGCGGUUUUAUCAUGUAAAUCUCAGUGUGGCAAA